rnacentral:rRNA from 1 species
GAGUUUGAUCGUGGCUCAGGAUGAACGCUGGCGGCGUGCCUAAUACAUGCAAGUCGAGCGAACCACUUCGGUGGUGAGCGGCGAACGGGUGAGUAACACGUAGGUGAUCUGCCCAUCAGACGGGGACAACGAUUGGAAACGAUCGCUAAUACCGGAUAGGACGAAAGUUUAAAGGUGCUUCUGGCACCGCUGAUGGAUGAGCCUGCGGCGCAUUAGCUAGUUGGUAGGUAAAGGCCUACCAAGGCGACGAUGCGUAGCCGACCUGAGAGGGUGAACGGCCACACUGGGACUGAGACACGGCCCAGACUCCUACGGGAGGCAGCAGUGGGGAAUAUUGCACAAUGGGGGAAACCCUGAUGCAGCGACGCCGCGUGAAGGAUGAAGUAUUUCGGU